rnacentral:lncRNA from 1 species
GUCUUGUCGGGGAACCUGUUGAAGAUUCAGGAGUUGAGAAAUAUGUUUAGAGAUUCUCAGGGCCAAAAAUGUGCUUAGAGGUCAAACACAGGAAAGCAACUUGGAUGAUUGGAGACCCUGUUCAAAGAUGACCUCCUUUGUGACAACUUUCAGGCCCCAGAGUGAGUUGUUGUUGCCUCAGUGCCCUCAGGCUCUGAAAGUGCCUCUUCCUGCCUGGACCACAGCAUGCAGCACACCGGUUGAUGAACACCUGACCCCAGGUCUACUCCUCCACCAGAAGGCGGCUUCAACAGCAGUAAGAAGAAGGAAUCGGAGGUGUGCGAGGCAAGAAUCAAAGAGAGCAGCUAGAAGAUGUUUGCAGUAAUCCAAGUAGAACAUGGUGAACACUUGGCUUAGGGGGAGUGGAGCUGCUCGAAUGUGAAUGUCCUGGCAGGAGGGGCGCAGCUGUGCUCACGGAGGUCUCCAGCAGGUUUAAUUCCGGCACUACCUCACCCAGUGUGAAGUCCAUCGUCCCAGUGGCCUUUGCCAUGGGCUGAGUGUGUGUCCUGCAGCAUCAUGAAGCUGGGAGAAGAUGUCCACUUGGGUAAUUCAUUGAAGGACUGAACAAAA